rnacentral:rRNA from 1 species
AAAUUGAAGAGUUUGAUCAUGGCUCAGAUUGAACGCUGGCGGCAGGCCUAACACAUGCAAGUCGAACGGUAACAGGAAUCAGCUUGCUGAUUUGCUGAC